GUCCUUUUGUUUAUAAUUUAAGGUUUAACCUGCCCACUGAAAUAAUAUUUUAAAUGGCCGCAGUAAUUUGACUGUGCAAAGGUAGCAUAAUCAUUAGUUUUUUAAUUAAAAGCUUGUAUGAAAGGUUGGACGAGGUAAAUUCUGUCUUUAUUUAAUUUAAUUUAGAAUUUAAUUUUUAAGUUAAAAAGCUUAAAUAUAUUUAAAAGACGAGAAGACCCUAUAGAUCUUAAUAUUAAUUAUGAUAGAUUUAAUUAAGAAUAAUUAAUUUUUUAUUAUAAAAAAUAUUUUAUUGGGGUAAUAAAAAGAUUAAAUAAAUUCUUUUUUUAUUUUUACAUAGAUAAAUGAAUAUUUGAUCCAAUUUUAUUGAUUAAAAGAUUAAGUUACCUUAGGGAUAACAGCGUAAUUUUUUUAGAGAGUUCAUAUCGAUAAAAAAGUUUGCGA
rnacentral:rRNA from 1 species